rnacentral:rRNA from 1 species
GGUGCUCUAGAUUAGAGAUGAUCCUGGCUCUGAUGAACGCUAGCUACAGGCUUAACACAUGCAAGUCGAGGGGCAGCGUGAAGUAGCAAUACUCUGACGGCGACCGGCGAAAGGGUGAGUAACGCGUGAGCAACAUGCCCGGUACCGGGGGAUAGUCGAUGGAAACGUCGUGUAAUACCCCGUAACAACAGAGGCCGCAUGACCUUUGUUUAAGAGAUUUAUCGCUACCGGAUUGGCUCGCGUCCCAUUUUGCAGUUCCGCCCGUGUAACGGCCCACCAAACCGACUAUGGGUAGGGGUUCUGAGAGCGACCGCCCCCCCACAUUGGAACUGACACACGGUCCAGACUCCUACGGGAGGCAGCAGUGAGGAAUAUUGGAACAAUGGCCGAGAGGCUGAUCCAGCCAUGCCGCGUGCGGGAGGACGGCCCCUAUGGGUUGUAACCGCUUUUUGUUGGAAAGCAAUAAGGUCCACGUGUGGAUCGAUGGAGAGUAUCCAGCGAAUAGCAUCGCUUACUCCGUGCCAGCAGCCGCGGUAAUUACGGAAGAUGCAGCGUUAUCCGGAUUUAUUGGGUUUAAAGGGUGCGUAGGCGGAUGAUUAGCGUGAAGUGAAAUGCCACUGCUCACAGUGGAACUGCCUCGGUAACUGGC